rnacentral:misc_RNA from 1 species
GCGACUCCCAGUAUAGCCAGUAAUGGAUCAGAAAGAUUCGCUGGCGGAGUUCCUGAGCGUUGCUGUCGAGGCCGCCAAGAUCGCCGGAGAAGUCAUCCGUAAAGGAUUUUGCCAGACCAAGCAUGUGGAGCACAAAGGACUGGUAGAUCUGGUGACCGAAACUGACAAGGCAUGUGAAGAUCUUAUUUUUACCCACCUUAAAAGCCGCUUCCCUCACCAUAAGUAUAUUGGUGAAGAAACAUCUGCGGUCGAAGGUACAGCCGAACUCACAGACGAUCCUACAUGGAUGGUCGACCCCCUCGAUGGAACCACCAAUUUUGUUCAUGGGUACCCUUUUGUUUGCGUAUCUAUAGGUCUCACUAUCGGAAAAGUGCCCUCUGUUGGUGUGGUUUUCAAUCCCAUUCUUAAUGAGCUCUUUACUGGCAUUCG